UAGCUCAGUUGGUAAAGAAUCUGCCUGCAAUGCAGGAGACCUAGGUUCAAUCCCUGG
rnacentral:tRNA from 1 species